rnacentral:piRNA from 1 species
UGAAAGAGAUACAAAACUUGACCAUGAG